AUUUAAUUCACCAGUAAUUGAAAAAAAAUUAAGAUUAAUUGAAUUGAAUUCAAGAUUGAUUGAAUUCAAGAUUAAUUGAAUUUGAUUCACCAGUAAUUGAAUUACUUUUGAAUAAUUUACCCAAACUACCGAAUUCAAGUAUGUACUAAAAAUGGUAGUGUUAAAUGAAAGAAGUUUUGUUUGUGUUGACAUGUAUUUAAUGUUUAUACCAUGUAACUACAAGUACCUACUACCAAUGCAAUGUCUAGAAAUAAAAGACAAACUAAAAAUAGAAAAUAAUUGUUACAUUAUUCUUAAUAAAACAUUAUGUAAAAUGCUAGAGUGCCUUUUGUAAUGUUUCGCCGAGUAUCUUAGGCAUGGUUUCGUGCUAUGUAUGUGUAACUUUAUAGAUAUGUACUGUGAGUUUUGUAAAAGUUCAAUCGUUAGCAGCUGCGUAAUCUAUACAUAUAAAAAGACUUGUCCCAAGUGACUAACUGACCUAACCUUAAAGUUUGAAAUUUUGAAAGAAAGUUCCUUUUAUGGCAUGCCUAGGUCCAGGCACUCUCACUAAGAAAGGAUUUUUGAAAUUUCCAGCCCUAAAGGCGUUAACAAGGUUCGAACCUUAGAUAGGGGAUGAAAGUUUGUAUGAUUAGUCACUUUUCAAGUUAUAUCCAUGAAAAUUGGUAUUUGGGCUUUCGGUAAAAAAUGAAGAAAUACAUUUCAGGAUUUUUUCUUGGAAAUUCCGCCCCAUCGCCGAUUUACAAAAAUUGCACUUGAACGAAGCCUGUAUGAUAAAAAUAUAGCACUCUCUAACGGUUUGGAACUCCAAUUUGACAUACAAAUAAUGAUUUGCGCAGCUGCUAAGCGUAAAACUUGGCAAAACUUACAGUAGCCCUACCAUACAUGUUAUGUUGUGAAUAUCAUAUUACAAGUAUAUUUGAGCGUGAUUUCGGUCAUUUGUAUAUAUGUAAUAUGUUGGGCAUAGACAGUUUAGUAGUAAAUGUUGUAAAAUCACUGGACCAUCCUUUACAAGUACCAACUCUAAUUGAAUACAUAAUUUUCAGAAGAAUUUAAUUACUUCUUCAAAAUUAAUGGAAUGCAUUAAAUCGUCUGAGAAGUUGUAUUCAAUUAAUUUUGCCAACGUUGAUUUCGUGUCCUCUAUGGUAAUUAUAAGGCGUUAAUACCAUUAUUAAUUUAAUUUUACAAUAAUUACUGCUAAAAAGGGAUAUAGGAAUUUGACAGUACCGUGUCAUUUUUGGUUAAAUUUUUCACAAUAGUCUCAUAAAACAUUUUUGUAUCAUUCUAAUUACAAAAAUAAACACAUACUACUGAAAACAAAAUAAAACAUAUCAAUUUCUCGUUCCAUAUAUACAUCGAACAUAAAGACAUAGUUAAGCUAUCACGACAUCCAAGUCCUAAUGCUAAAACAUUUAUUUUUUUCAUUAAUUUGAAAAUAUUUCCUAGAGAAAAAGAUAUGCAUCUAUUAUUCUGAUAACAAUGGGUUCUUUAAUCAGCUAUUUUUAGGACUAUUACUGUUUUUUUAUUUAAUUAAUUUUGUGCCGACUAUAUCACUGUUUACGAUAUGGAAACAAUUGACAUAUCAUUCAAAUAUUGCAUAUUUCUAAUCAAAGGAGUAAUUGGGAAUUUGAAAUUGCUGACAAUAUAAAAAUAUCCCUUUGAACUUUUCAAGUCUCAUUUUAUUAUGGUAUACUUAUUUGCCUUAGGGAUGAUUUUUCAACUGCCAAAUAAAUUUUAACUGACAAAUUUGUCUUAAGUUUGUCUAUAAGUAAAUAAAUAUGUAUUUUUAAAAUACUUUCAAUGCAAAAACAAUAAAAAUAUCUUUUGAAUGCGUCAGCUGAGUUUGACGAGUGAAAAAGCUUAUUUUGAUUCCAUUGUUAGCAACUUCUUUAAAUUAAGAGUGUGAAUUUUCACUGUUUGGUAGAAUUGAGUGCCAUAUCAUAAACAGUUAUAUAGACAUGCUACCACAAAGUUUACACCACACAUCUAUUCUAUAGUAUAAUAAUAACGAAAAAUACAGCAGUAUUCAUUAUGUCCGUGUAUCCACCUAAAUCUAUAAAACCAGUAAGUAACGGCUCAAAAUUUUGCAGGUUAACUAUAGUUAUAUUGUUUUGGUAUAGAAUUUUAAUAAAAAAAGUAAAUGGUCAAAUGUAUGGAAUAUGACUCGUGGAAAAGUGAUAUGAAAACUUUGACUGAUGGAAAAUAUUAAAUUAGUUGGUGAAUUUUGUGUGGCAUUAAAUUUUUUUUUCUAAUAAAGCCCCCACCAUUUUAACCGGAUCUCAGCAAUAAAAUUUAAUAUGUUUGUACAAUGAGUUCGUAUUUUUCCAAAAAAAAAAAAUACCUGCAAAAUCUGAACGUACUCAAUGAAAUAUUGUGCAGCCAGGCGAUAUUCAAAACUUACAUUUAAAUCCAAUCGUCACGUUUUACUUUUACUAUCAUUUUUAAGAAAAAUUUAUAGAAAAUCUGUUUACUGUCAUAUUUUUUCCACUAGUCGAAUAUAAUUGACAUCGCAAUGACACUUACUACUAGCCUAAAGAAGACGCUAAACUCUAUUUUUCUUAUAAUUACAUAUUUUGGUUCUUAAAAUGGAUAAAGGUAUACUUUUACUACACACAAAACUUAACCCACAGAACCUAUGCUAGGCAUUGCUGUCAAGUGCAGGAACAAAAAAUGAGAGGAUGAAUUUAACAUAUUUACUGUAAAUUUAGAACUGAUUUUACACACGCUAAAUAAAUUUUAACUGACGAUUAAAUAUGCCGUUAUAAUAAAAAAAAUUGUUUAAACGUUAAAUUUUAUCGCCAGUUAAACAUUAUUUCAAGGGUGAAAAUCGGAUCUUGUUUUAAUGUAUUUUCCAUAAAACUUGUCAAGACAUACUCAAAAUUGCUUUAUUCAUAACAUAUUUUUAUUUGAAGUCCUCAGUAAUUAAAGUUUUGUGUAUAAUAGAACUUAUACCAAUAGAUAUUAAAAUGAUCGUAUGAUGGUAUGUAUUUAGAAACGACUUGCUCCACUAUUGUUAAGCUGAAUUAUUACAUUCGGUAAAGAAAAUGACGAUUAUUAUUUAUUGAAACCAGAAUUUCCUUAUGCUUAACUUUUAGCGGCCAUAUUUUAGUAUUAAAAAAGGUGUAUUUUAAUACAUGAAAUAAAUAAAAUUCCAAAUAAAAAUUACUGAAUAUUUUGAAUUCAAUUAACUAAAAUUACAAUUUCAAUUCAAUUACAAUUUCAAGUUUGCAAUUAUAUAACUUUAUACUUCAAGUAAAUACUUCAAUUCAAUAAAUUAAUUAAUUAAAAAUCCUUAUUGUUAUGGCUGCUAAAAAAUAAGCAAAUAAUCCAUAAUUCGGAAAAGAAAAUAUUACGUAUAUGUCUAUAGGGACUAAUAUAACGGAAUGCCGCAAGCGGAAAAACGCACGCGCAGUUUUUCUCCGGCACUCUUUCCACUCAUGGCACAUUGCAUUGUAGCGAAUACAUUGCGCGUUUUUGCUCGCAUAAUUCCGUUGGAUUUUUCCCAAUCAGACGUCUCCAACAGUUCAUUUCAAUGCCACGAAACACAUGCAGAUGCGGAAAACAUGCACACUCGAAAGCAUGGGACCUAUCAUAAAAAAGUCCAAACGAAAGAAUAAAACACAAAAUCAUCUACCUCCAUAAACCGUUGUUGCUUUAUUCUCUUGUACAAAUUCACAACUGCCAAGGUUUUGUAACCGUACAACCAAAUUAGGCACGCAAAGAAUCAUAAUUAUUUAAAAAAAAUUAAGAUAAAAAAAUCAACACCUAUUUUGCGUCCUUGCGUACACACACACGUAUUCACGAAACUAAUUUUAUUUAAUUAAUUAAUUAAAACUAUCAAUUAAUUUUAUCCAUCACUAAAAAUGGGAUAAAGAUAAUUUUUUUUAAUAUACCGCUUUCUAAACUCGAAUUU